rnacentral:rRNA from 1 species
GACGAACGCUGGCGGCGUGCCUAAUACAUGCAAGUUGAGCGCUGAAGGUUGGUACUUGUACCGACUGGAUGAGCAGCGAACGGGUGAGUAACGCGUGGGGAAUCUGCCUUUGAGCGGGGGACAACAUUUGGAAACGAAUGCUAAUACCGCAUAAAAACUUUAAACACAAGUUUUAAGUUUGAAAGAUGCAAUUGCAUCACUCAAAGAUGAUCCCGCGUUGUAUUAGCUAGUUGGUGAGGUAAAGGCUCACCAAGGCGAUGAUACAUAGCCGACCUGAGAGGGUGAUCGGCCACAUUGGGACUGAGACACGGCCCAAACUCCUACGGGAGGCAGCAGUAGGGAAUCUUCGGCAAUGGACGAAAGUCUGACCGAGCAACGCCGCGUGAGUGAAGAAGGUUUUCGGAUCGUAAAACUCUGUUGGUAGAGAAGAACGUUGGUGAGAGUGGAAAGCUCAUCAAGUGACGGUAUCUACCCAGAAAGGGACGGCUAACUACGUG